rnacentral:tRNA from 1 species
CCUGGUGGCUCAGAUGGUAAAGUGUCUGCCUACAAUGCAGAAGACCCAGGUUCAAUCCCUGGGUCAGGA